ACCGGCCACACUGGGACUGAGACACGGCCCAGAUUCCUACGGGAGGCAGCAGUGGGGAAUAUUGCACAAUGGGCGAAAGCCUGAUGCAGCGACGCCGCGUGAGGGAUGACGGCCUUCGGGUUGUAAACCUCUUUCAGCACGGAAGAAGCGAAAGUGACGGUACGUGCAGAAGAAGCGCCGGCUAACUACGUGCCAGCAGCCGCGGUAAUACGUAGGGCGCAAGCGUUGUCCGGAAUUAUUGGGCGUAAAGAGCUCGUAGGCGGUUUGUCGCGUCUGCUGUGAAAGCCCGGGGCUUAACCCCGUGGUGUGCAGUGGGUACGGGCAGACUAGAGUGCAGUAGGGGAGACUGGAAUUCCUGGUGUAGCGGUGAAAUGCGCAGAUAUCAGGAGGAACACCGAUGGCGAAGGCAGGUCUCUGGGCUGUUACUGACGCUGAGGAGCGAAAGCAUGGGGAGCGAACAGGAUUAGAUACCCUGGUAGUCCAUGCCGUAAACGUUGGGCACUAGGUGUGGGGGACAUUCCACGUUUUCCGCGCCGUAGCUAACGCAUUAAGUGCCCCGCCUGGGGAGUACGGCCGCAAGGCUAAAACUCAAAGGAAUUGACGGGGGCCCGCACAAGCGGCGGAGCAUGCGGAUUAAUUCGAUGCAACGCGAAGAACCUUACCAAGGCUUGACAUACACCAGACCGGUCCAGAGAUGGUCCUUCCCCUUUUGGGGUUGGUGUACAGGUGGUGCAUGGUUGUCGUCAGCUCGUGUCGUGAGAUGUUGGGUUAAGUCCCGCAACGAGCGCAACCCUCGUUCUAUGUUGCCAGCACGUGAUGGUGGGGACUCAUAGGAGACUGCCGGGGUCAACUCGGAGGAAGGUGGGGAUGACGUCAAAUCAUCAUGCCCCUUAUGUCUUGGGCUUCACGCAUGCUACAAUGGCCGGUACAAUGGGUUGCGAUACCGUGAGGUGGAGCUAAUCCCAAAAAGCUGGUCUCAGUUCGGAUCGUGGUCUGCAACUCGACCACGUGAAGUCGGAGUCGCUAGUAAUCGCAGAUCAGCAACGCUGCGGUGAAUACGUUCCCGGGCCUUGUACACACCGCCCGUCAAGUCACGAAAGUUGGUAACACCCGAAGCCGGUGGCCUAACCCUUGUGGGGGAGCCGUCGAAGG
rnacentral:rRNA from 1 species